GAUGAACGCUAGCGGCAGGCUUAAUACAUGCAAGUCGAGGGGCAGCGCGGGUAGCAAUACCUGGCGGCGACCGGCAAACGGGUGCGGAACACGUACGCAACCUUCCCGAAACUGGUGAAUAGCCCUCCGAAAGGAGGAUUAAUACACCAUAACAUAGUGAAGCGGCAUCGCUUUAUUAUUAAAGUAGCAAUACGGUUUUGGAUGGGCGUGCGCCUGAUUAGAUAGUUGGCGGGGUAACGGCCCACCAAGUCUACGAUCAGUAACUGGUGUGAGAGCACGACCAGUCACACGGGCACUGAGACACGGGCCCGACUCCUACGGAAGGCAGCAUUAAGGAAUAUUGGUCAAUGGACGAAAGUCUGAACCAGCCAUGCCGCGUGAAGGAUGAAGGCCCUCUGGGUUGUAAACUUCUUUUAUAGGGGACGAAAAAAGGGAAUUCUUUCUCACUUGACGGUACCCUAGGAAUAAGCACCGGCUAACUCCGUG
rnacentral:rRNA from 1 species